rnacentral:lncRNA from 1 species
UAGGGGACUUUUGGGAUAGCAUUGGAAAUGUAAAUGAAAUAAAUACCUAAUUAAAAAAAAAGAAUAAGAUACUAAGUAAAUUUCUGCGAGUACGGAGCCUGUGGCUGGGAAAAUGGUUAUAGCCAUGAUCAUUGACUGCCUUAAGCUUACUCUGUGAUAGCCAGUGACAACUGGAAGGAAGAAACUACCUUUCUCUAAUGAUGACAUGUACAGUAAGACUAUAAAGAAGAGAAAAAUCUUAUUAAAAAAAAAAAAAAGAAUAAGCCAGCUAUCCUGUUGCCUAAAUCUGCCUCUUACAAGGUAUUAAAAAGUGUGUUCUUUGUUUGUUCUGGGUCUUUGUCUCUGGCCUGAGUGAUGAGAGGAGGGUCCCCAACAUGAUGGAUCAAUAAAAAACCUCUUGCGGUUUGCAGUGAAUGCACUUUCUGUGGUCUUUGUGAGUGAGGGUCUUUUGAUGAACUCCAACAUUUAUCCUUAUUCCAUGCACAUCACUGAUCAAGUCUACAUACCAAUAUUAAAUGGUUUUCCUUUCAGUGAUCUUCAUGCACUAUAAAAUGAUGAAUAUUAAUGCAUCUAGGUUUACUUAUUGUUUUCAGAAUUUUUGAGCUUCUGGUAUUCUAGCACAUUCCUUACCUUUUAUUGCUAAUUUCUCUAUUCCUAAAAAUAAUGCUAACAGACAUUUGAUAAGAAUCAGAAGCUAUUAUUUGUAGACCUAUCCUGCCUUCCCUUUGGGAUCUCCUAUUGUCUGUUAUCAUGACAAUUCCAAGUGGUGAGGUCAUCUCUAGGUGUGAUCCUCUUUGUAUUUCCCAGCUCUGUGCUGCUCCUUGGUAAUUUCAGGAUUACUUUCUGUAAAAAAUGCAAAUAGGAUUUAAUAGGUAUAGCUUGGAGUCUUAGAUAAAACAAACCUCCUUCUAGGUUGUCUUCUCAUGUUUGAGAAGCACUUAGUCAGGUUGCCUGUUUUCACAUGUUUUAUGUAUUCUGCUAUAGAUAUCUCCACUCUGGGUAUUGUGGCAUGCACUCAUGUUGACCAAGGACUUUCUAUCAAAUGGACCAUUAUACCUUUUGUGAAAAGUCUUUAUUUUGUAUUUUAAUACUUUUGUCUUGAUUUCUUUUUGUCACUGGUAUAAUUAUGGUCAUCAUAUUUCUUCACUGCGUCCCAGAUGCAUGGCAUUUAAAGGAAAUUCCCUCUUUGUCAGUAUUUUGUAUCUUUAGAUAUGAAGUAAAUAUUUUGUAGAAAAUAUAUCUUUUAAUCUGGUGUCAAUUUUUUGAAUGUUGCUGUCUGUUUACAUGUUUAGCUUAGGGAAUAUUAUCUAUUUACAUUUCAAGAAGAAGCUAUCUAGUCUGCAACCUGUGUUUGUGUUAUUUGGUGACAUUCUUUUGCAGGUUCUGGAUCUGCUGCUCUUGCAUUGGGCUGAUCUGGAAUCACAUGGGGUAGCUCAAGCCUUGCAAUUUUCCUGAGGUUGUUCUGUACCCUGGGAAUUUGCGCAUCAUGACAAAUUCUAGGCUUCUCUUCACUAUUUCUGUGAAGUAUAUUGUGGGAAUUUAAGUGUCAUAGAGUUUGAACUGAUAUGGAAAUCACUUCCAGAGAUCCUGCAAAUUUCCCAAAAUUAUGUCCAGUUCUGUCUGAGUAAAACAUCUUUUAAGGUUCUUGUUAGUGUUUUCUUCAGUUCCUUCAACAAAUCAAAGUUUUCAUUGUAUAGACGUUUCAUAAAUUUGGUUAAGUCAGGAAUUUUUAAUUUUGUUUUCCCUCCCUCCUUCUCCUCCACUUCCUCCUCCUUCUCUCUCUCUUUCUCUCUGUAUUUGUCUUUACUAAUUUUUAUUAUUCAGUUUUUUGUUAAAAAGUCUCUAAAAGAGUAACAUUUGCUCAGAACCAUCGAACCAUCUCCCUCGACCCAUAUUAAAUUUUAUUUAUGUGAGUAGCAAUUACAGAAAAUGAUAUAAAGCUAUUUUGAUUGAUUUUAUUUUUUAAUUUAUAUAAUCAAAAAGCUUGACUUUACAUAGGCAUGUAUAAUUUUAAUAUGUUUUCCUUUUACUAUUGUACUUUUUUAUAUUCUUGAACAUAACAUUGCUACCUCCUCAGUCUGUGUAUUUUCUGGAAUGAACACUUUGUAUGGAUAACCAUAUGGUAUACUGUCCUCUGCCAACUAUUUCUCCAGCUGUAAGAAUUCAUUAGUGCUUGACUAAGGCUGAGGUCUAGUGAGCUUUCUCCCUUCCACGUUAGCAUGUCUCUUGGUAUUAUUCUUGUUCAGCUCAGGUUUCGGCAGCUACAUUUGUAUGAUUUUAUAUAAGUAGCUUCUCUGACAUUUCUAGGAGACACAAUGUCACAGCAAACCUCUAUUAUUCUGGCUCUUACUAUAUCCCCAACCAUCUUGCUUGGUGAUGCCUGAGUCUUAGCUGAGCAUCACAACUCCAUUUUGACUGAUAGUGUUUUUCUGUAAUGUUGUUCAUGUCUUACUAAAAGAACUUGUCUUAAUGAGAGUGAGGAUUACAUUUAUUUGUGUGAAAUAGGACAAAUAUUUAGAAUGUUGUUUGGGAUUAUGCUGAUUUAGUAAAGUAGUAUUUGUAUGUUCUUCUCCAAGAUCCAUGACAUCAUUAGCCCUGGGAAAUGUGGCUAGGUUUUCAGUAACACCUGUGAUUUCCCUGUUGUUAAGGUCUUAAUUCCAAUUAGAAGCUGUUGGUUGCCACCGAGGUAUGUGGGCCACUCUUGAACCCUUAAGGUUAUUGUGCAGUGCAGAUCAUUGUUGUGGUUCAUACACGUCAUAUCUGGGUAGGAGGCUUGGUUGGCUCCCUCCUUUGGAAGCUUGCAUGUUGCUUUCUUAUACGAUGAAAGCCAGUUCCCAUGUAUUGGCAGUCUCUUGGGCAGGUAUGACCAACAACUUCACAGCAUGGUUCUGGUGCCUGUUGUUGGUUUUGUUAGAAAAUCUAUGGCCCCUGUGAGGAGCAUUAUCAUCCCAGAUGAGAUAUUUUCAUUUAUAUUCUAAAUAUAUAUGUAUCCACACACUUAUUAAUAUGUAUUAUAGGCAUUAUUAAUGAAUGGAUAAUAGUAUUAUUCUUUUUGACUUUUUAGACAUCUUUACUUUUUUUUAUUUUAUUUUUUUUCAUCCUUCUAGGUUGUGAUGGUUUGUAUAUGGUUGGCCCAGGGAGUGGCAUUUUUUGGAGGUGUGGCCUUCUUGAUGUAGGUAUGCCACUAUAGGCUUGGGCUUUAAAACCUUCAUCAUAGCUGCCUGGAAGCCAGUCUUCUAGCUACGUUCAGAUGAAGAGAAGAACUCUUAGAUCCUCUUGCACGAUGCCUGCCUGGACACUGUCAAACCCCCACCUUGAUGAUAAUGAACUGAACUUCUGAACCUGUAAGCCAGCCCCAACUAAAUAUCCUUUUAAGGGUUGUGUUGGUCAUGGUAUCUGUUUAUAGCAGUAAAACCCUAACUAAGACAGAAGUCAUACUGUCCCUCCUCCAUAAUUAAAUCUAUUCCACCAUUCUUCCAUUUUUCCUCUUUAGAUCCUUUAGUUCCCUGUUAUUCCCCUUUCUAUUAUUCCCCCACAUUCCACAAUGAUCUGCUUUUAGUUUUCUGGUUACUGCAGGUACUCCAGGUUGUGAACUCACAUCAGAAGUUUUGGAUCUAGAAACUUCCUAUGAGAGAGAAGAUGCAAUGCCUGUCUUUCUGGUUCUGGGUUACUCCACUGACUGUGAUCUUUUAUUAGGCCACCUAUUUACCUGCAACACUCCUGACUUUAAUUUUCUUUACAGCUUAAUAAUAUUCCAUAGUGUAUAUGCACCACAUUUCCACUCUCCAUUUGUCCAUUGAAGGCCAUUUAAAUUGUUCCCCUUUUUAAAGCUAUUGUGAGUAGAGCAGCAGUGAACAUCUGUGGAGUAGGACAUUGAUUCCCUUGAACACAUGCAAAGGAGUAGAAGAGCUGUGUCACAUGCUAGAUUUAUUUAACUUGAGGAUUUGUUUAUUUAACUGGUUUGUCCAUAUUGAUACCCACAGUGGCUACAUUUUUUGUUCAUGGGAGUUUUAUUCCUCAUGCUUAUUGUUGUUUAUUAUUUAUUUAUGUUGUUGGUAGGAUUAUGGGUGCUAUUAUUCUUUCUCUGUGAGAACUAGUAUUUUUGCUGUUUUGCUUAUGGAUGAUUACUUCUUAGUUCUCCCGUAUUUAUCUACUUUCCAAAUAAAGUUUAUUAUUCCCAUGUUUUCAUGGCUAAUCAUUAUACCUCUUGUGCAUAUUUUUCUGUAAUUUAUUAUAUACUAGGCUGCAUUCGUGAAAUGACUUGUAUUAAUUUGGACUAUCUUGAAAUACACUUAUAUCGCUCCAUCAAUUUAAAGAGAUUAUUUUUCUAGAUGCAACAAUAUGCUUGAUGGUGACUUUCCCUUUAAACUUCCAAUAUGGUCUCAUGUUGUCUUGGUUUUGGGAUCAUUGACAGGAUUCCUCAUAGUAUUCUGAUGUUUGAAUCUUGUUAUGUGCUUUGACACUAUUUUUUAGUAGAUUUCAGUAUUGAUUUCUGCUUUUUCUUUUUCUUUUUGAUCCCUUCUAUGAAAGGACCACAAACCAGCUAUUCAUUGUUCC